UACGUAGGUCCCGAGCGUUAUCCGGAUUUGUUGGGCGUAAAGCGAGCGCAGGCGGUUAGAUAAGUCUGAAGUGAUAGGCUGUGGCUUAACCAUAGUAUGCUUUGGAAACUGUUUAACUUGAGAGCGGAAGGGGAGAGUGGAAUUCCAUGUGUAGCGGUGAAAUGCGUAGAUAUAUGGAGGAACACCGGUGGCGAAAGCGGCCCUCUGGUCUGUAACUGACGCUGAGGCUCGAAAGCGUGGGGAGCAAACAGG
rnacentral:rRNA from 1 species